UGCCAGCAGCCGCGGUAAUACGGAGGGUGCGAGCGUUGUCCGGAAUCACUGGGCGUAAAGGGUGCGUAGGCGGCUGAGUAAGUCACGUGUGAAAGCCCGGGGCUCAACCCCGGAUCGGCAUGUGAGACUGUUCGGCUCGAGCAUGGUAGAGGCGGGCGGAAUUCCUGGUGUAGCGGUGGAAUGCGUAGAGAUCAGGAAGAACACCGGUGGCGAAGGCGGCUCGCUGGGCCAUUGCUGACGCUGAGGCACGAAAGCGUGGGGAGCAAACAGGAUUAGAUACCCUGGUAGUCCACGCCCUAAACGAUGGACACUAGGCGUCGGGGGGAGCGACCCUCCCGGUGCCGUCGCUAACGCAAUAAGUGUCCCGCCUGGGGAGUACGGCCGCAAGGCUGAAACUCAAAGGAAUUGACGGGGGCCCGCACAAG
rnacentral:rRNA from 1 species